rnacentral:rRNA from 1 species
CAGUCGCCGCGGUAAUACAGAGGGUGCAAGCGUUAAUCGGAAUUACUGGGCGUAAAGCGCGCGUAGGUGGUUUGUUAAGUUGGAUGUGAAAUCCCCGGGCUCAACCUGGGAACUGCAUUCAAAACUGACUGACUAGAGUAUGGUAGAGGGUGGUGGAAUUUCCUGUGUAGCGGUGAAAUGCGUAGAUAUAGGAAGGAACACCAGUGGCGAAGGCGACCACCUGGACUAAUACUGACACUGAGGUGCGAAAGCGUGGGGAGCAAACAGGAUUAGAUACCCCCGUAGUCCCUGUCUCUUAUAC